rnacentral:rRNA from 1 species
UACGUAGGUGGCAAGCGUUGUCCGGAAUUAUUGGGCGUAAAGCGCGCGCAGGCGGUUCCUUAAGUCUGAUGUGAAAGCCCACGGCUCAACCGUGGAGGGUCAUUGGAAACUGGGGGACUUGAGUGCAGAAGAGGAGAGCGGAAUUCCAGCGUGUAGCGGUGAAAUGCGUAGAGAUGUGGAGGAACACCAGUGGCGAAGGCGGCUCUCGUGGUCCUGUAACUGACGCUGAGGCGCGAAAAGCGUGGGGAGCAAACAGGAUUAGAUACCCCCGUAGUCC